rnacentral:rRNA from 1 species
UACGUAGGGGGCUAGCGUUGUCCGGAAUCAUUGGGCGUAAAGCGCGUGUAGGCGGCCCGGUAAGUCCGCUGUGAAAGUCGGGGAUCAACCCUCGAAUGCCGGUGGAUACUGUCGGGCUCGAGUACGGAAGAGGCGAGUGGAAUUCCUGGUGUAGCGGUGAAAUGCGCAGAUAUCGGGAGGAACACCAAUGGCGAAGGCGGUUAGCUGGGCAGUUGCUGACACUGAGGCGCGACAGCGUGGGGAGCAACAGG